UAGGGAAUCUUCCGCAAUGGGCGAAAGCCUGACGGAGCAACGCCGCGUGAGUGAUGAAGGUAUUCGGAUCGUAAAACUCUGUUAUUAGGGAAGAACAAAUGUGUAAGUAACUAUGCACGUCUUGACGGUACCUAACCAGAAAGCCACGGCUAACUACGUGCCAGCAGCCGCGGUAAUACGUAGGUGGCAAGCGUUAUCCGGAAUUAUUGGGCGUAAAGCGCGCGUAGGCGGUUUUUUAAGUCUGAUGUGAAAGCCCACGGCUCAACCGUGGAGGGUCAUUGGGAACUGGAAAACUUGAGUGCAGAAGAGGAAAGUGGAAUUCCAUGUGUAGCAGUGAAAUGCGCAGAGAUAUGGGGGAACACCAGGGGCGAAGGCGACUUUCUGGUCUGUAACUGACGCUGAUGUGCGAAAGCGUGGGGAUCAAACAGG
rnacentral:rRNA from 1 species